rnacentral:lncRNA from 1 species
CUCAGUUUCCCGCUUCCACGGCUUUAGUGUUUCAUUCUACAAUAGAGUGACUAGCAGGAUCUAAAAUGUCAUUGGUCAGUUGAACUCCAACUCCAAUAAGACUUUCAAAUACUGGAUUAAAGUGCGCUUUAAUUCCAUCAAAAUCCUUGGCCUGCAUGGUUUGUUCUAGUCCUGACACAUCUGCAUCUGCAGGAGAAAAAGUAGAAAUAUUUUCAGAAUUAAAAUCAGAAGUGGAACGAACCUGGAUGUGGUUGACUUGGGUUGGCGUAAGAUGG